rnacentral:rRNA from 1 species
AUUGAACGCUGGCGGCAGGCCUAACACAUGCAAGUCGAGCGAGCGGCGAACGGGGGAGUAAUGUCUGGGAAACUGCCUGAUAGAGGGGGAUAACUACUGGAAACGGUAUCUAAUACCGCAUACCAUCAGAUGUGCCCAGAUGGGAUUAGCUAGUAGGUGGGGUAACGGCUCACCUAGGCGACGAUGCCUAGCUGGUCUGAGAGGAUGACCCGCCACACUGGAACUGAGACACGGUCCAGACUCCUACGGGAGGCAGCAGUGGGGAAUAUUGCACAAUGGGCGCAAGCCUGAUGCAGCCAUGCCGCGUGUGUGAAGAAGGCCUUCGGGUUGUAAAGCACUUUCAGCGGGGAGGCGUUACCCGCAGAAGAAGCACCGGCUAACUCCGUGCCAGCAGCCGCGGUAAUUC